GUGCAUCGGUUAUAAUGAGUCAUACUAACUGGGAACGAAUGGCAAACUCAAUGACAUAGCAUCAUUCAGUAAAGCAACAAUUUGCCCAGACGUGCACAUUUGGUGCUAUGUCAUGGCAAAUCGCACGGUUUGUUGGCUCAUAUUUUUUCUACAGGAAUUAUUUACAGAUACU
rnacentral:lncRNA from 1 species